rnacentral:lncRNA from 1 species
AUUUACUGAAUUGCUAUAUGUUAAUCAUGAAAAGAUCACCAGGUAUUUCUUAAAAUUGAGAGGCUCUAGUCCUUUUUUUCAGUGAGAGUAAAGUCCACUCCAUAACAAAUUGAAAUGUACCUCUCUUUGUACAUUCUCCCUAUCUUAAAAAGCUCUAGUGGAGAGCACUGAUGAGAGCUUCACAGUUCCCAAAUUCCCUGUAGUAGCUUCCCCUUAAUUUUGCGGGAGGACUGGAUUAUUGCCACAAUCAUGAGUAAAAAAAGAAAGGUGACAGAAUUGAGAUCACCUCUCCAAAUAUCCCACACCUUUCUCCCUCCAGACACCUCCCACCUUCAUAAGGAAAUUCUAAUUUUUAUUUCCCAUGCUCCAUGUCUAUGGCUCAAAGGGCCAGCUGGGGUGAGGGCCUAAGCUAAUAUUCUUACAGUUCAGGUGAUAGGCCUCAUAAAUCAAGUUUCAAUGACAUCCCACAGUACUCCAACUUGGUUAAGAAAAGUAAUUUUGCUUUCCCCCCCCUUGGGAUGCAAGAAGCUAAGUUCCCACUGGUGUCAUUCCCAGCCAAAUCUUGCUGUGAAUCAUCUGCUGUUCAUUACUUGAGUCGUGUACACAUUCCCUUUUCUCAAUCCAAACAUCAGCAAUCCUGGGCAGGCAUUGCAUCUGACAGCUGCUGUUCUACAGAGCUCUGAUCUAGUUUCUCUCCCAUCCAAUGCCCUUUCCUCUCAACCCCGCUCCACCCACUGCUCUGGUUCCCGGUCUCUGUAAUGCCUGUGACAUUUACCAGGAUUCAUGUAGGGCACUCUGCCUCAGCAUCUCGAAGUGAUGACUCCUAGGAACUUCCCAAGGACUAAGAAGCAGCAGGACUCAACAAUUUUUUUCAGGUGGUUCAACUUAUUUCAACUGACUGGAAUGGUGUUAUCCUACAACUUCAGUAGCUGCAAUCACUACCAAAUGGCCAGUGACUAUGAAAAUAUAAUAUAUAAUGAGAAACUGGAAUCUUUGUAUAAUUCAGAAAUGCCAUCAUCUGAAGAUAGUAAUUUGUUCUGUGAAACCAAGGUGAGUAGGUUUACUGUUGAAGGAUGGGAGAAGUGAGGGGAAGGGAAAGCCCAUCCAGCCAGUUCGAAGCUGAGCUGUUGAACUCAGGGAGACAAUGGCUAGAGAUAUUUCUUUAGUAUGGACUGAGUGCCUUUGGCCUGGAUUGAUCACAUUUUGGGAUAGCAGACAAGGUCCUCAACUGGGUUGGGGUGAAAGGAAAUGGGGAACGGAUAUGGAUGGAGUGGGGGUGUAGGGUAGAGAGUUGGGAGUGAGGAAGAGGAAUGAAGGAAUCCAAAUUACUACCUAGAAUUCAGGGGUGGGACUGGGAGAGGGGUCUAGGUCGCCACCUAUGGGUUUCACUCUGACUGAACCUUGGGUCUGAGAUUUCAGUAGUGCCAGCGAAUAAAGGAAUUUUGGAAGAGC